GCAAGUCGUACGAGAAAGCUUCCUUCGGGAAGUGAGUAGAGUGGCGCACGGGUGAGUAACACGUGAGUAAUUUGCCUUAGGGUUGGGGAUAACAUCUCGAAAGAGUUGCUAAUACCGAAUAAGACUACAGUUUCUUCGGGGACAGUAGCCAAAGGAGCUUCGGCUUCGCCUUUUGAUGAGCUCGCGUCCUAUUAGCUAGUUGGUAGGGUAAUGGCCUACCAAGGCGAUGAUGGGUAGCUGGUCUGAGAGGAUGAUC
rnacentral:rRNA from 1 species